GAGACCACAAUGUGGGGACACAUUAACAGAAGCCAAACACCACACAAGCAAUGAAACAAGAAGGACACACGUCAUCUGCUAAAAAUACAUCAGGGAUCAACAAUGCAUGAGUUUGGGAAGACCAGAUGAUGAGACCCAGCUUACAAGGCUCUGUCUGGCUUAGAAGGAUCACUGCAAUGCGAUGCCACUGUCUUCCUUCAGGAUGCACCCAUGUGCUGAGGGAUGUGUGCAUUCACCCACUUAGGAGGCUAUAAUCAAAGCUGGCGGUCAGAGCUGGUGUUGGACCUUCCUACUGCCAAGUAUGAGUUGAUUAAUAGCGUGAAUUUUUACUCCGCCUUGUGGUCUUCUGAUUUUUCCCCACAUAUCAGAACCUUGAAUUUACAGUACGAUUAGUAGACUUUGAACAAA
rnacentral:lncRNA from 10 species